CCAAUAGCGUAUAUUAAAGUUGCUGCAGUUAAAAAGCUCGUAGUUGAAUUUCGGGACCAUCAUGUCGGUCGUGCCUCGGUACGUACUGGCAUUGUUGGUUUCUACCUUCUGACGAACCAUGAUGUCAUUUAUUUGGUGUCGUGGGAAAUCAGGACUGUUACUUUGAAAAAAUUAGAGUGUUUAAAGCAGGCUCACGCUUGAAUACAUUAGCAUGGAAUAAUGAAAUAGGACGUUUGAUUCUAUUUUGUUGGUUUCUAGGAUCGACGUAAUGAUUAAUAGGGAUAGUUGGGGGCAUUAGUAUUCAAUUGUCAGAGGUGAAAUUCUUGGAUUUAGUGAAGACUAACGACUGCGAAAGCAUUUGCCAAGGAUGUUUUCAUUAAUCAAGAACGAAAGUUAGGGGAUCGAAGACGAUCAGAUACCGUCGUAGUCUUAACCAUAAACUAUGCCGACUAGGGAUCGGAUGAUGUUAAUUUUUUAAUGACUCAUUCGGCGCCUUACG
rnacentral:rRNA from 1 species